ACUCUGCGCGAGUGUGUACUGCCGUGCUGCUAUUCUGGUCUUGACACGCAGAGCUUGAUUGUUCCUGUAUUUUUUCUUAAAUAAACCGAUAAGAACAGUGCAGCGGUCAUUAUGAGUGAAGAAACUCCUAAGAAGAAAAAGAAAUGGUACACACAGUCUUUCAGAGAAGAAUGGUUACUUGAUGACGAAUUUAAGGACUGGUUGGAAAGAGACAAACGCAAUAAAGAUUUUAGUUACUGUAAAUGUUGCGCAGUUACACUUAAAAAUUCUACGAAGUCCAUGUUACGUGGUCAUAAAAAUACCGUGAAACACAAAAGAUGUUAUGACAUUGCCAAGUCGAAUAUGACGUUACCUGGUGUCGACUCGCAUGCUCUACAAGAUUUCAAAAUUACGUAUCCUGCUGAACUACUAAUUGCACCGGAAACUUCAGACCCAGUUUCCCCUCAUAAAGAAUCGGGUAAUAAAAGGAAAAGUCUAGACCGCAGUGAGCAGUUAGUGGAACUAUCAACAGAGUAUUUCAAGCGGCCUGAGACUGAAGAGGAUAUUAUGGGGAAGAUGUGGGCUAUGAAAUUAAAAAAAUUACCUCUGGACCAACGGCGUUUUGCUGAAAAAAUUAUCAAUGAUACGCUUUUUGAAGCUGAAAUGGGCACCUUGACAAUGGAAUCAAUGCGUUUUGUUAGAUCCUGCACACCAACAUCAACACAUUUGUCAUCGUUGGCUUAUAAUUAGCAUGAGUAUCCCACUCUGCACAGCCUAUUUACACCUGGCUUCCAAGCCCUACUCUGCACCAUGAGCAUAACCAAAUCUAUGAGGCUAAGGCGUACUUCUGUUCUCAAAACCCUAUGUAAACUUGUGCUUUUAAUUGUAUAAGGUAAAUUUAUUGUGCUUCUCUUUAUUGACGUAUGAAAAAAUGUACAUGAAAAUU
rnacentral:lncRNA from 1 species